rnacentral:rRNA from 1 species
AUUGAGCGCUGGCGGCAGGCUUAACACAUGCAAGUCGAGCGGGGUGAUGGUGCUUGCACUAUCACUUAGCGGCGGACGGGUGAGUAAUGCUUAGGAAUCUGCCUAUUAGUGGGGGACAACAUCUCGAAAGGGAUGCUAAUACCGCAUACGUCCUACGAGAGAAAGCAGGGGAUCACUUGUGACCUUGCGCUAAUAGAUGAGCCUCAGUCGGGUUAGCUAGUUGGUGGGGUAAAGGCCUACCAAGGCGACGAGCUGUAGCGGGUCUGAGAGGAUGAUCCGCCACACUGGGACUGAGACACGGCCCAGACUCCUACGGGAGGCAGCAGUGGGGAAUAUUGGACAAUGGGGGGAACCCUGAUCCAGCCAUGCCGCGUGUGUGAAGAAGGCCUUAUGGUUGUAAAGCACUUUAAGCGAGGAGGAGGCUCUUUUGGUUAAUACCCAAGAUGAGUGGACGUUACUCGCAGAAUAAGCACCGGCUAACUCUGUGCCAGCCGCCGCGGUAA